AAUAUGUUGUUUUCAGAUAAAUUAAAAUGAUGCGAGGAAGCUAUGGUGGAUACAAUGGCCACAAUUCACACAACGUGCAAUCUCAAUAUAAUCAGGACUAUAACAAUAGGCACGAUGCAGGUAGCAAUCGAGGCCUAGAUGUCCGUGCAGGGGGUAGGGGACCUGUUGGAGGGGGUGGAGGACCUGUCGGAGGUGGUAGGGGACCUGUUGGAGGAGGAAGAGGAGGAGGAGAUGUCGGUAGAUCCGGAGAUAAUAGAUAUCUUAGUUCUCAGCUACAGGACAACAGCGCAGAGAAGCGAUAUAUCCGUCAGGUGGCCGGGCCCAGGGAUGAGGUCAUGACCUCAAGGAACAUUCAACAACCUCGUGACCUCAUGCCAGCACGUGAUCUUGACCUCAGAGGUGGUGGUGGAGGACAGGCAUCCCACCGUGACGGAUAUGGAUAUGGAUCAGAACCGGUUCCGCCGCCGGUUCAACGGUCCGACCCUUUAUUUUGGAACAGACAGGAGAUGGAGCGAAGACCAGAGAUAAGCGGAGAGCGCGAUCGAAUCCGCUACGAGGGUAGUAGGAGAAGCAGUGCGCGUGCGCCCCCGACGCAUGCAAAACCAGAAUAUGAUAAUGAUCGUAUGUUUGUUGACCCUCCGGCCCGAAAUUUCGGUCCAUCAAGGUAUGAUGAUAAACCUAUGAUGGAGUUCCAAGCACCGGCUCCGCCAAGGUUUCCGCCCAAGGGUCCAGUUCCUGUUCCUGUCUCUGGGUUGAACAGUAGCUGGUUGGAGAACUGGCCGGAGCCAGGGAAGAGCAAGAAGGAGAUCUGGCAGGAGAAGGAGAGGGCGAGGGAGCAAGAGGAGAAGAGGAAAAGGUUGGAGGAGUUGAACAGGAGGGAGAGGGAGUUGGAGGAGAAGGAGAGGAUCCUCAAGAUGGAGAUGAAAAGGAAGGAAGAGGAGAGAAGGUUCGCUGAGCUACGGCGGAUUGAAGCUUUGCGCGCCGAGGAGCUUAGAAUUAGAGAGGAAGAAUUACGGCGGAAAGAAGAAAUGAGACUAGAGGAAAUAAGAAUGCGCGAGGCGGAACUGAGGCGGAAGGAAGAGAGGCUGCUCCGUCUGGAAGAGGAAAGGCGGAGAGAAGAGUUGAGAUUGCUAGAUGAGCAGAGAAUGCGAGAUAUCCAACUAGACCUGGAGCGACGUUCUGGUGUAUACAAUAGUUAUACUGUAUCCGGGACCAGCACUGUAGUCGGAUCCAGGAGAAAUGGAACCGGGUCCAGGCCAGGUGGAUCCGGUUCUAGAUCAUCUGUAUCCAGAUCCAGGCCGUCUGUAUCCCAUGUAUCUUCUUCCAGAAUAUCAAAUGAUCGAACUGGAGAAAGAAACUCACGUGGAAUUCUACCCAAACCUGAGUCACGUGUAUCGUCCCGGGACUCGCGUGUUGACUCCGGACGAGUUGAGAAGCGACCAAGUGUGGGAACAAGACGAACAGUGUCGAAUAAGUCCGGGCAUAUCCAGGACAGAGUAGGACAGAAGCCCAGCGCUUUCCAGAGAUUGGGAGGGAAGGUCUCGGUAAAAUCUCGUCUUGGUUUGGACUCUAACCCCAGGUCUUCAAGCUCAAGAGGACAUAUCUCGGUCACGGUUAAAAAUACUUUAAGUUCGAGGCAUGUUGACCGCAACAAGGGCGAUCUCAAGGUGCUUGACCAGGUGGGGGAGUUUGAGAAGAUAGAUGAAGAAUUAGAAGAGUUGAAGGAGAAAGAAAGACAGCUUAAGCUCCGAUUGAAACUGCAAGAAGAAGAGAGGAAGAAGAAAGCUGGGGAGGAGAAGAUGGAUGUAGAAGAGAAGAAAAGGGAUCUAAAGAAGGACCCAAAGGAGGACUCGAAGAAGGACCUAAAGGAGGACUUGAAAAAGGACUUGGAGGCGAGUAAAGAAGUUGACCUCGACAAAAUAGUAAUUAAGAAGAGGAGCAAAACUGGAGCUGAAGCUAAUAAAACUGGAAAGAGUUUAGUUGUGAAAACCCCAAAUAAUCUGGUCGCUAAACUAGCCCUUAAACUAAAGGAACUGCCCAAGAUUGCUGUUGCCCCCUCGUCUAAAACGCCGAAGGAAAAGAUGGCGUUGAAGAAGAAAGUGAAAGCGAAGUAUAUGAAUGAGAACCUACCUGAACGUAUCCUCUACCUGGCUCUGGAGAAGGUUUCCUAUGACGAGGAGAGAGUUUAUCUUCUUCUCAGUAAACUGAUUCAACCAGAUACACAGGUUGUUGAGGUUGAGGAGGUUGUUGUCAACCUAGAGGAUGAAGAUAUGCUGGAUUACGAGGCUGAGGACAAUCUCUCAUAAAUCGUUCACGUCUUAGAGGCUGAGGACAAUCUCUCAUUGAUCCUUGACGUCCUAGAGGCUGAUACUCGUUCUCUGGACGUCCCUCUCGUUCUAUUAAUGUUCCGUUUCGUCCUUCAGAUUUAUCCCCCUUGUCCUUUUAAAGACCUUAUUUUUCCUUGUAAUUUGAUCUUUUACGUCCUCUUCUGUCCUCUAAAUGAUUUCUAAUGUUCUCUUUUGUAGUUCAAAAUGAAAUGAAAUCAUUAUUAGAAUGGUGAUAUCCGUUCAUCCGAAACUCAAAUAUGAUGAUAAGAGCUUGUAACUUUUAAAUGAGCGGAUUAGCUGAACUCAGUCUCUUCUCGCAACAAGAUUACCCUAAAUAUCAUGAGAUUUGUAAAUCAUAAAUGAUCGGUUUAAGAACAGAAUGAGUUCAACUGAAUCUGUCCAGAUAUAGUUCGCAGAUCAAUCCAAUGGAAAGAUUAAGCGUUUUCUGUAAAAUAGAUUGAGAGAAUUGAUUUGUGUAAAUUCAAAUUUCACAGGUUAUCUGUGCUAGUCGCCACAAUCCUUCAUUAAACAUUUUAUUUUUUUUUUGUAAAUUUUUUAUGCACUACUUAGGGAUUAAGAUGGCAAUUCAUAACAUAAUUUGUGUAAUCUCUUAACUUUGUUAUUUCUGAUUAUUGAUUUAUAAAAUACAUAUUACAUAAAGUAUA
rnacentral:misc_RNA from 1 species